rnacentral:tRNA from 3 species
GGUGGGAUCGCAUAGUGGACUAGUGCGGUUGUUUCGAAAACAACUGUCCCUUUGGGGACCGCAGGUUCGAAUCCUGCUCCCACCG